rnacentral:rRNA from 1 species
UGGGGAAUAUUGGACAAUGGGGGCAACCCUGAUCCAGCGAUGCCGCGUGUGCGAAGAAGGCCUGCGGGUUGUAAAGCACUUUGGGUGGGGAAGAAAGCCGUAAUGUGAAUAAGGUUACGGGUUGACGUUACCUACAGAACAAGCACCGGCCAACUCUGUGCCAGCAGCCGCGGUAAUACAGAGGGUGCGAGCGUUAAUCGGAAUUACUGGGCGUAAAGGGCGCGUAGGCGGUUAUGUAAGUUAGAUGUGAAAUCCCUGGGCUUAACCUGGGAACUGCAUUUAAGACUGCAUGACUGGAGUAGAGUAGAGGGAAGUGGAAUUUCCGGUGUAGCGGUGAAAUGCGUAGAUAUCGGAAAGAACACCGGUGGCGAAGGCGGCUUCCUGGACUCAUACUGACGCUGAGGCGCGAAAGCAUGGGGAGCAAACAGGAUUAGAUACCCCCGUAGUCC